CGUAACGCGUAUAGAAUCUGCCUUAUACAGAGGGAUAGCCCAGAGAAAUUUGGAUUAAUACCUCAUAGUAUUGUUUAAUCGCAUCAUUAAACAAUUAAAGCUCCGGCGGUUAAAGAUGGGCAUACGUGACAUUAGUUUGUUGGUGAGGGAACGGCUCACCAAGACUACGAUGUCUAGGGGGUCUGAGAGGAUUAUCCCCCACACUGGUACUGAGACACGGACCAGACUCCUACGGGAGGCAGCAGUAAGGAAUAUUGGUCAAUGGACGAAAGUCUGAACCAGCCAUGCCGCGUGCAGGAUGACGGCCCUACGGGUUGUAAACUGCUUUUAUUUACCAAGAAUGGUUACUACGUGUAGUAAUUUGACGGUAGCAAAUGAAUAAGGACCGGCUAACUCCGUGCCAGCAGCCGCGGUAAUACGGAGGGUCCAAGCGUUAUCCGGAUUCAUUGGGUUUAAAGGGUGCGCAGGCGGGCUUGUAAGUCAGUGGUGAAAUUCUGCCGCUUAACGGUAAAACUGCCAUUGAUACUGCAAGUCUUGAAUAUGGUUGAGGUAGGCGGAAUGUGUUGUGUAGCGGUGAAAUGCAUAGAUAUGACACAGAACGCCGAUUGCGAAGGCAGCUUACUAAGCCAUGAUUGACGCUGAGGCACGAAAGCGUGGGUAGCGAACAGGAUUAGAUACCCUGGUAGUCCACGCCGUAAACGAUGAUCACUCGAUGUUGGCGAUACACAGUCAGCGUCCAAGCGAAAGUGUUAAGUGAUCCACCUGGGGAGUACGAUCGCAAGGUUGAAACUCAAAGGAAUUGACGGGGGCCCGCACAAGCGGAGGAGCAUGUGGUUUAAUUCGAUGAUACGCGAGGAACCUUACCUGGGCUUAAAUGUAGAUUGCAUAGAUUGGAAACAGUCUUUUCUUCGGACUAUUUACAAGGUGCUGCAUGGUUGUCGUCAGCUCGUGCCGUGAGGUGUCGGGUUAAGUCCCAUAACGAGCGCAACCCCUACCCUUAGUUACCAUCAGAUAAUGCUGGGCACUCUAAGGGAACUGCCGGCGCAAGCCGUGAGGAAGGUGGGGAUGACGUCAAGUCAGCACGGCCCUUAUGUCCAGGGCUACACACGUGCUACAAUGGUAAGUACAAAGGGCAGCUACCUGGUGACAGGAUGCUAAUCUCAAAAACUUAUCUCAGUUCGGAUCGAAGUCUGCAACUCGACUUCGUGAAGUUGGAUUCGCUAGUAAUCGUAUAUCAGCAAUGAUACGGUGAAUACGUUCCCGGGCCUUGUACACACCGCCCGUCAAGCCAUGGAAGUUGGGGGUGCCUAAAGUCGAUAACCGCAAGGAAUCGCCUAGGGUAAAACCAGUAACUAGGGCU
rnacentral:rRNA from 1 species